CGCGGCCUAUCAGCUUGUUGGUGGGGUAACGGCCCACCAAGGCUACGACGGGUAGCUGGUUUGAGAGAACGAUCAGCCACACUGGGACUGAGACGCGGCCCAGACUCCUACGGGAGGCAGCAGUGGGGAAUCUUGCGCAAUGGGCGAAAGCCUGACGCAGCAACGCCGCGUGCGGGAUGAAGGCCCUCGGGUUGUAAACCGCUUUCAGCAGGGACGAAAAUGACGGUACCUGCAGAAGAAGCCCCGGCUAACUACGUGCCAGCAGCCGCGGUAAUACGUAGGGGGCAAGCGUUGUCCGGAUUUAUUGGGCGUAAAGAGCUCGUAGGCGGUUCUGUAAGUCGAAUGUGAAAAAUCUGGGCUCAACCCAGUGGAGCACUCGAUACUGCAGUGACUAGAGUCCGGUAGGGGAGUGUGGAAUUCCUGGUGUAGCGGUGAAAUGCGCAGAUAUCAGGAGGAACACCAACGGCGAAGGCAGCACUCUGGGCCGGUACUGACGCUGAGGAGCGAAAGCAUGGGUAGCGAACAGGAUUAGAUACCCUGGUAGUCCAUGCCGUAAACGUUGGGCACUAGGUGUGGGGAGGAGUCAACCCUCUCUGUGCCGUAGCUAACGCAUUAAGUGCCCCGC
rnacentral:rRNA from 1 species